AGCGCAGACGGCGAUGCAAGUCUGGAGUGAAAGCCCGGGGCUCAACCCCGGGACUGCUUUGGAAACUGUAUGGCUAGAGUGCUGGAGAGGCAAGCGGAAUUCCUAGUGUAGCGGUGAAAUGCGUAGAUAUUAGGAAGAACACCAGUGGCGAAGGCGGCUUGCUGGACAGUAACUGACGUUCGGGCUCGAAAGCGUGGGAGCAAACA
rnacentral:rRNA from 1 species